rnacentral:snoRNA from 1 species
AUGCAGGCUAGUUUACAAUAUAGCUGUUAAGUGCUGUGUUGUCGUUCCCCCUGCAAAAAAUAACUUGUUUCCUACUAUCCCUGACAGUCAUUAUUACCCUGGCUGACAGGGACGCUUGGUUUCAGACAC